rnacentral:rRNA from 1 species
GAUGAACGCUGGCGGCGUGCCUAAUACAUGCAAGUUGAGCGAAUGGAUUAAGAGCUUGCUCUUAUGAAGUUAGCGGCGGACGGGUGAGUAACACGUGGGUAACCUGCCCAUAAGACUGGGAUAACUCCGGGAAACCGGGGCUAAUACCGGAUAACAUUUUGAACCGCAUGGUUCGAAAUUGAAAGGCGGCUUCGGCUGUCACUUAUGGAUGGACCCGCGUCGCAUUAGCUAGUUGGUGAGGUAACGGCUCACCAAGGCAACGAUGCGUAGCCGACCUAAGAGGGUGAUCGGCCACACUGGGACUGAGACACGGCCCAGACUCCUACGGGAGGCAGCAGCAGGGAAUCUUCCGCAAUGGACGAAAGUCUGACGGAGCAACGCCGCGUGAGUGAUGAAGGCUUUCGGGUCGUAAAACUCUGUUGUUAGGGAAGAACAAGUGCUAGUUGAAUAAGCUGACACCUUGACGGUACCUAACCAGAAAGCCACGGCUAACUACGUGCCAGCCGCCGCGGUAA